rnacentral:miRNA from 1 species
GAACAGGGAUAAAAUGGACAAUU